UACGGAGGGUGCAAGCGUUAUCCGGAUUCACUGGGUUUAAAGGGUGCGUAGGUGGGCAGGUAAGUCAGUGGUGAAAUCUCCGGGCUUAACUCGGAAACUGCCAUUGAUACUAUCUUUCUUGAAUACCGUGGAGGUCAGCGGAAUAUGUCAUGUAGCGGUGAAAUGCUUAGAUAUGACAUAGAACACCAAUUGCGAAGGCAGCUGGCUACACGAAUAUUGACACUGAUGCACAAAAGCGUGGGGAUCAAACAGG
rnacentral:rRNA from 1 species